GACGAACGCUGGCGGCGUGCUUAACACAUGCAAGUCGAACGGAAAGGCCCUGCUUGCAGGGUGCUCGGGUGGCGAACGGGUGAGUAACACGUGGGUGAUCUGCCCCUUACUUUGGGAUAAGCCUGGGAAACUGGGUCUAAUACUGGAUAGGACCAUGCUGUAGGUGGUGUGGUGGAAAGAUUAUUUUCGGUAAGGGGUGAGCUCGCGGCCGAUCAGCUUUUUGGUGGGGUAAUGGCCUACCAAGGCGUCGACGGGUAGCCGGCCUGAGAGGGUGGGCGGCCACAUUCGGACUGCGACACGGCGCAGACUCCUACGGGAUGCGGCAGUGGGGAAUAUUGCACAAUGGGCGUACGCCUGAUGCAGCGACGCCGCGUGGGUGAUGACGGCCUUCGGGUUGUAAACAACUUCCAGCCAUGACGAAGCCCCUGUGGUGACGGUAGUGGUAGAAGAAGCACCGGCUAACUACGUG
rnacentral:rRNA from 1 species